CCUACGGGAGGCAGCAGUGGGGAAUAUUGCACAAUGGGGGAAACCCUGAUGCAGCGACGCCGCGUGAGUGAAGAAGUAUUUCGGUAUGUAAAGCUCUAUCAGCAGGGAAGCAAAUGACGGUACCUGAUUAAGAAGCCCCGGCUAACUACGUGCCAGCAGCCGCGGUCAUACGUAGGGGGGCAGCGUUAUCCGGAUUUACUGGGUGUAAAGGGAGCGUAGACGGUGAUGCAAGUCAGAAGUGAAAGCCUGGGGCUCAACUCCGGGACUGCUUUGGAAACUGUGUGACUGGAGUGCAGGAGAGGGAAGCGGAAUGCCUGGUGUAGCGGUGAAAUGCGUAGAUAUCAGGAGGAACACCAGUGGCGAAGGCGGCUUACUGGACUGUAACUGACGUUGAGGCUCGAAAGCGUGGGGAGCGAACAGGAUUAGAUACCCGAGUAGUC
rnacentral:rRNA from 1 species